rfam:Onchocerca flexuosa genome assembly, scaffold: OFLC_contig0016332
AAUGAAGUGUCACAGAGGAAAACGAUAACCAUUAAAAGUAGCUACCUAUGUCAUGAGUGCUAUCGGAUGAUGGAAAAAAUGAAAGCUCUUAUACAAAGGUAAGUAUCAAUGAUUUUUCUUACACUUUUAUCACUUUUGAUUUUUAUGAAAUAAAACAGAGCGUUAAAGGAUUCGUAAAUUCAUUAAAACCCGAAAGAUGAUGAAUUAUGUCCGAGGAGGAUGAAGCCAGAAGAAACUCUGAUUGCGGCCCAAAGCGAUUCUGAUGUGCAAAUCGAUCGUGUAACAUUGGUAUAGGGGCGAAAGACUAAUCGAAUAAUCUAGUAGCUGGUUUCCUCUGAAGGAUAGCUGGAAUACAUAAUAAAGCUGUUAUAUUCCAUAAAGCGAAUAUAAUUGGAUAAAUUAUGAGACGAAAUGUCUUCAACUUAUUCGCAAACUUUCAAUAAAUAUCACAUCUUGCUUGCUUGAAUGAAGCGUAGACAAUGAAUGUGUGCUUCAUCAAGCGGGCUAUUUUUGAUGAACAAAACAGGCGCUAUGGGAUGAACCAAAUGUUGCAAAUUAGAAGUAAAAGAAAAAGAAUUUCUGCAGA